UACGUAGGGGGCGAGCGUUGUCCGGAAUCAUUGGGCGUAAAGCGCGUGUAGGCGGCUCGAUAAGUCCGGUGUGAAACCUUGGGGCUCAACCCCAAGCCUGCACUGGAUACUGCCGAACUAGAGUCCGGGAGGGGAGAGCGGAAUUCCUGGUGUAGCGGUGGAAUGCGCAGAUAUCAGGAGGAACACCAAUAGCGAAGGCAGCUCGCUGGGACGGUACUGACGCUAAGGCGCGAAAGCGUGGGGAGCGAACAGG
rnacentral:rRNA from 1 species